rnacentral:rRNA from 1 species
UACAGAGGGUGCAAGCGUUGUUCGGAAUUACUGGGCGUAAAGCGUGCGUAGUCGGUAUUGAGAGUCGCGGGUGAAAUCCCAGGGCUUAACCCUGGAACUGCCUGCGAGACCUCAGUACUAGAGUGUGAGAGGGGAUAGUGGAAUACCCAGUGUAGCGGUGAAAUGCGUAGAGAUUGGGUGGAACACCGGUGGCGAAGGCGGCUAUCUGGCUCACAACUGACGAUCAGGCACGAAAGCGUGGGGAGCGAACAGG